rnacentral:tRNA from 1 species
AGCCGUAUAGCUCAGUGGUAGAGUGUGUGCUUAGCAUGCGAGAGGUCCUGGGUUUAAUCCCCAGUACCUCCA